UACGGAGGGGGCUAGCGUUGUUCGGAAUUACUGGGCGUAAAGCGCACGUAGGCGGCUUUGUAAGUUAGAGGUGAAAGCCCGGGGCUCAACUCCGGAAUUGCCUUUAAGACUGCAUCGCUAGAACGUCGGAGAGGUAAGUGGAAUUCCGAGUGUAGAGGUGAAAUUCGUAGAUAUUCGGAAGAACACCAGUGGCGAAGGCGACUCACUGGACGACUGUUGACGCUGAGGUGCGAAAGCGUGGGGAGCAAACAGG
rnacentral:rRNA from 1 species